CGUAGGUAACCUGCCUUGUAGCGGGGGAGUAACUAUUGGAAACGAUAGCUAAUACCGCAUAACAAUGGAUGACACAUGUCAUUUAUUUGAAAGGGGCAAUUGUUCCACUACAAGAUGGACCUGCGUUGUAUUAGCUAGUAGGUGAGGUAAUGGCUCACCUAGGCGACGAUACAUAGCCGACCUGAGAGGGUGAUCGGCCACACUGGGACUGAGACACGGCCCAG
rnacentral:rRNA from 1 species